rnacentral:snRNA from 1 species
UGGAUCCGUAACUUCGGGAAA